rnacentral:lncRNA from 1 species
GGAAAACAAGAGAGUCCGAGGAUCUGAAUAAAGACAACGAGGUUUCGCGAUGUUUAUGCAUAAACUAUAGACUGAAAUGCGAACACGCCGCGCGCUGCUCAAAGAUAAGCUCCUGCUUACGAGGCUCUGAUUGACAGCGGGCGCCUGACGUCACGCCUGUCUGGUCUCCCAGUCACUUCACAUGGCAUCUUUUAUUUAGGUCAAGUUAACCGUUUUUGUAAACUCAGCUAAAUUUAAGAUUCACUAACGAUCCUGUUCCAAAAAUAAAUAAUAGAUAAACUAAUAAACAGUUGAACACUCGGUGUUAUUUUAUUAAAGUGUAACUUAAUAAGAAAGUCACGCUGGGAGAGCAUGACAGAGAGAAAGACAACACGCAAUAAAUAAUUCAGUAAUAUUACACCGUCACACACCCUAUUUAUUGUCAGGAUGAAAAGAAAACAAGGUGAAAACAGGAAAGAACAAUGCAAGUGAGCGGAAAUGCAUUGCAUAAACAUCUGCAAAAUAUGUCUGUGAUUAUCCUCCUUCAAGGUGGCGCUGCUGAGACUGCAAUUAAUCUGAAAGCGUGUUAAAACAUUCAAAUGUGCUUCCCACAUAUUAAAACCUUACUCUACUAACGAGUUUCGUCCAAACAUAAGGUGAGAACCUACAUAAAUGUGCACUUUUAAAACACAAACGUACAGUCAGUUAAAAAACUCAAACCGCUUUCAGAAGCGGAAGUCACCAGCGGGCUUCUGUAGACGCUUCCGCUCUGUGUGAGGAGAGGCAAGAAAAAAACGUAUCCUCCAUCCUGGUAUUUGCCUUCAUCCUGGUCACUGCGAAGUCCCCGUACCAAAACAGGAAGUAAGUACCAAAACCAAAGCUAAAUUCACUUUCGCUCACCUCUGUGCGCCGGACUUGUAUCUUAUAUUCUGCACAUAGAAAAUACGCACCGACUUACGAAUAAUGUCUGCUUAAAUUAAAGCACCACAUAGGACAUUUACAAGAAUGGUGCAUAGCAUUAUUCUCUAAGCUAUUAUUCGUCUUUCUCUAAAUUAAAAAAAAAAAAGUUUUAACAGAGGUCGCGUGUCAUACAUUUGUGUGUUUUUUAAAGUUUGCGUUG